GCUAGCGUUGUUCGGAAUUACUGGGCGUAAAGGGCGCGUAGGCGGCCCAGCAAGUCGGGAGUGAAAGCCCGGGGCUCAACCCCGGAAUGGCUUUCGAAACUGCUGAGCUAGAGUACAGAAGGGGCAACCGGAAUUCCCAGUGUAGCGGUGAAAUGCGUAGAUAUUGGGAAGAACACCUGAGGCGAAGGCGGGUUGCUGGGCUGAUACUGACGCUGAGGCGCGAAAGCCAGGGGAGCAAACGGG
rnacentral:rRNA from 1 species